rnacentral:rRNA from 1 species
GACGAACCGUGCGAACGUUGUUCGGAUUCACUGGGCUUAAAGGGCGCGUAGGCGGGUGAUCAAGUCCGGGGUGAAAUCCCUCAGCUCAACUGAGGAAUAGCCUUGGAUACUGGUCGUCUUGAGGGAGGUAGGGGCAUGUGGAACUUCCGGUGGAGCGGUGAAAUGCGUAGAUAUCGGAAGGAACGCCGGUGGCGAAAGCGGCGUGCUGGACCUCUUCUGACGCUGAGGCGCGAAAGCUAGGGGAGCAAACGGG